UGCCAGCCGCCGCGGUAACACGGGGGGCGCAAGCGUUAUUCGGAAUUAUUGGGCGUAAAGGGCGCGCAGGCGGUCUUGUCCGUCAGGUGUGAAAGCUCGGGGCUCAACCCCGGAACUGCCCUCAAAACUGUCGAUCUAGAGACCGGGAGAGGUAAGCGGAAUUCCUAGUGUAGAGGUGAAAUUCGUAGAUAUUAGGAAGAACACCAGUGGCGAAGGCGGCUCACUGGCUCGAUACUGACGCUGAGGUGCGAAAGUGUGGGGAGCAAACAGGAUUAGAUA
rnacentral:rRNA from 1 species